rnacentral:rRNA from 1 species
UACGUAGGGUGCAAGCGUUGUCCGGAAUUAUUGGGCGUAAAGAGCUCGUAGGCGGUCUGUCGCGUCGGCUGUGAAAACUCGGGGCUCAACUCCGAGCUUGCAGUCGAUACGGGCAGGCUAGAGUUCGGCAGAGGAGACUGGAAUUCCUGGUGUAGCGGUGAAAUGCGCAGAUAUCAGGAGGAACACCGGUGGCGAAGGCGGGUCUCUGGGCCGAUACUGACGCUGAGGAGCGAAAGCGUGGGGAGCGAACAGG